GAUGAACGCUGGCGGCGUGCCUAAUACAUGCAAGUCGAGCGAACGGACGAGAAGCUUGCUUCUCUGAUGUUAGCGGCGGACGGGUGAGUAACACGUGGAUAACCUACCUAUAAGACUGGGAUAACUUCGGGAAACCGGAGCUAAUACCGGAUAAUAUUUUGAACCGCAUGGUUCAAAAGUGAAAGACGGUCUUGCUGUCACUUAUAGAUGGAUCCGCGCUGCAUUAGCUAGUUGGUAAGGUAACGGCUUACCAAGGCAACGAUGCAUAGCCGACCUGAGAGGGUGAUCGGCCACACUGGAACUGAGACACGGUCCAGACUCCUACGGGAGGCAGCAGUAGGGAAUCUUCCGCAAUGGGCGAAAGCCUGACGGAGCAACGCCGCGUGAGUGAUGAAGGUCUUCGGAUCGUAAAACUCUGUUAUUAGGGAAGAACAUAUGUGUAAGUAACUGUGCACAUCUUGACGGUACCUAAUCAGAAAGCCACGGCUAACUACGUGCCAGCAGCCGCGGUAAUACGUAGGUGGCAAGCGUUAUCCGGAAUUAUUGGGCGUAAAGCGCGCGUAGGCGGUUUUUUAAGUCUGAUGUGAAAGCCCACGGCUCAACCGUGGAGGGUCAUUGGAAACUGGAAAACUUGAGUGCAGAAGAGGAAAGUGGAAUUCCAUGUGUAGCGGUGAAAUGCGCAGAGAUAUGGAGGAACACCAGUGGCGAAGGCGACUUUCUGGUCUGUAACUGACGCUGAUGUGCGAAAGCGUGGGGAUCAAACUGGAUUAGAUACCCUGGUAGUCCACGCCGUAAACGAUGAGUGCUAAGUGUUAGGGGGUUUCCGCCCCUUAGUGCUGCAGCUAACGCAUUAAGCACUCCGCCUGGGGAGUACGACCGCAAGGUUGAAACUCAAAGGAAUUGACGGGGACCCGCACAAGCGGUGGAGCAUGUGGUUUAAUUCGAAGCAACGCGAAGAACCUUACCAAAUCUUGACAUCCUUUGACAACUCUAGAGAUAGAGCCUUCCCCUUCGGGGGACAAAGUGGCAGGUGGUGCAUGGUUGUCGUCAGCUCGUGUCGUGAGAUGUUGGGUUAAGUCCCGCAACGAGCGCAACCCUUAAGCUUAGUUGCCAUCAUUAAGUUGGGCACUCUAAGUUGACUGCCGGUGACAAACCGGAGGAAGGUGGGGAUGACGUCAAAUCAUCAUGCCCCUUAUGAUUUGGGCUACACACGUGCUACAAUGGACAAUACAAAGGGCAGCGAAACCGCGAGGUCAAGCAAAUCCCAUAAAGUUGUUCUCAGUUCGGAUUGUAGUCUGCAACUCGACUACAUGAAGCUGGAAUCGCUAGUAAUCGUAGAUCAGCAUGCUACGGUGAAUACGUUCCCGGGUCU
rnacentral:rRNA from 1 species